rnacentral:rRNA from 1 species
UACGAAGGGGGCUAGCGUUGCUCGGAAUCACUGGGCGUAAAGCGCACGUAGGCGGCUUGUUAAGUCAGGUGUGAAAUCCUGGAGCUCAACUCCAGAACUGCCUUUGAUACUGGCGAUCUCGAGUCCGGGAGAGGUGAGUGGAACUGCGAGUGUAGAGGUGAAAUUCGUAGAUAUUCGCAAGAACACCAGUGGCGAAGGCGGCUCACUGGCCCGGUACUGACGCUGAGGUGCGAAAGCGUGGGGAGCAAACAGG